CAGGCCUUGACAUCCAAUGAAUCUGCUAGAGAUAGCGGAGUGCCUUCGGGAACAUUGAGACAGGUGCUGCAUGGCUGUCGUCAGCUCGUGUCGUGAGAUGUUGGGUUAAGUCCCGUAACGAGCGCAACCCUUGUCCUUAGUUACCAGCACGUUAUGGUGGGCACUCUAAGGAGACUGCCGGUGACAAACCGGAGGAAGGUGGGGAUGACGUCAAGUCCUCAUGGCCCUUAUGGGUAGGGCUUCACACGUCAUACAAUGGUCGGAACAGAGGGUCGCCAACCCGCGAGGGGGAGCCAAUCCCAGAAAACCGAUCGUAGUCCGGAUCGCACUCUGCAACUCGAGUGCGUGAAGCUGGAAUCGCUAGUAAUCGCGGAUCAGCAUGCCGCGGUGAAUACGUUCCC
rnacentral:rRNA from 1 species